rnacentral:rRNA from 1 species
UACGAAGGGUGCAAGCGUUAAUCGGAAUUACUGGGCGUAAAGGGUGCGUAGGCGGUUAUUUAAGUCUGCCGUGAAAUCCCCGGGCUCAACCUGGGAAUGGCGGUGGAUACUGGAUAGCUAGAGUGUGUCAGAGGAUGGUGGAAUUCCCGGUGUAGCGGUGAAAUGCGUAGAGAUCGGGAGGAACAUCAGUGGCGAAGGCGGCCGGCUGGGCCAUACCUGACGCUGAGGCGCGAAAGCGUGGGGAGCGAACCGG